UUCCACCUCGAAUACGUUGACACAUUGAGGACGCUUCCGUCUUUUGAUUUCAGCUCAUCUUCCUUCUAAGUUGUAUCGGCAACAUACAAAAUCUACUUGAAGCAAUUCGAAUCAAAUUUUUCUUUAGCUAAAAUCGAAUUUUUCGAGGGUUUUGUCUUUGAAUUUUUUCUUGAUUUAAUGGCGAAGGGGAGGAGUAAUCGGCAUCAAGGGAAGAGAUCCUCUACGGUGACGUUGGUGCUAUUUAUGUUAUUAAUGGUUACAAUUAUUUUACUAAUGCUAUUGGCUCUCGGAAUCCUCUCUCUACCUGCUGGCUACGAUGAUGAGUCGUCGAGUAUCGGUGGUCGCAUCAAAUUCAAGCGCUUGAACUUAGACAUAAGAGGAGGAGAGAGAUUGGGAAAAAGAGGAGAGCAGUGGACUGAGAUGCUGUCGUGGGAGCCUAGGGCUUUCAUUUACCACAAUUUCUUGUCCAAGGAAGAAUGCGUGCAUCUGAUAGAUCUUGCCAAACCUCACAUGGCAAAAUCGGUAGUUGUUGACAGCAAGACAGGCAAGAGUAAAGAUAGCAGGGUUCGUACAAGUUCUGGAAUGUUUUUAAGGAGGGGACAGGAUAAAAUCAUCACUGAUAUUGAAAAAAGAAUAGCAGAUUACACAUUCAUACCUGCAGAGCACGGAGAAGGCCUACAAGUUCUGCACUAUGAAGCUGGUCAAAAAUAUGAGCCUCACUAUGACUACUUUCUUGAUGAAUUCAACACUAGAAAUGGUGGUCAACGCAUAGCUACUAUUCUCAUGUAUUUUGCAGGUCAGAUGUUGAAGAAGGGGGUGAAACAGUCUUUCCUGCUGCUAAGGGAAAUUUUAGCUCUGUCACAGGGUGGAAUGAAAUGUCAGAAUGUGCUAAGAGAGGACUUGCAGUGAAACCAAAAAUGGGCGAUGCAUUGCUUUUCUGGAGCAUGCGGCCUGAUGCUACUCUAGAUCCUUCAAGUUUGCAUGGUGGUUGCCCUGUCAUCAGAGGGAACAAGUGGUCAUCUACAAAGUGGAUGCGUGUGGGUGAAUACAGUGUCUAAACAAUUUUUAAGGUAGCCCUGCUUAAUCAUCUGGUGUUCGUCUUUUCUUCUUUCCUUUUUUUUUGCAUUCUCUUUAGCUCCUGCACCCCACGGAGAAAAGGAGACAAAUGACAUAAUAUUUACAUAGGAGGGUGAUUGCUAAUGUUUACUCUUCCCCUCGUGUUAUGGUCUUGGUCCCAAGACUUCUUUUCUCGAAAUUUGAAUCCAAUGUAGCUGUUUCUAUACAACAGACUAUUAUACAUGUAAGGUAGAAAUUUUAAGGCCUCUGAGGAAGUUCAUAGUCUAGGUAAAUAUAAUAUUCUCAUUGUUCUUUAUCUCGGUAGCAUAGUUAAUAAACAUGCCUUGGAACAAAGGUCUCCUGGGGUUCUUCAAAAUGAAUCAAAUAUUACAUUUUAAUGAAAAGUUUCCAAAACCAA